rnacentral:lncRNA from 1 species
AAGGGGACUAAGGAUUCAGAACUGUCUUCCUAAAGCCUUCUGGGGAGCUGGAUAUUCCUAGUAGUCAUAUCUAAAAUGGCUUUUAUGCUUGGAAAUAUUGUCCUGCUUCCUCUAUACUUGAACAUGUUUGAAUGGGCACAAGCUUUCUUGGGCAUUUGCAAUUUCACAGUCAUUGCUCCAUUGUCAUCUGGGAUUUACUACAGAGCAUCCUUGCUCUGGAGAACCUUGAGACAUGUGUUCGCAUCUGAAUGUGAGUGCAAGUAGAAUGUAAGAAGGAAAGAAGAAACAGAAUGUUAUGGAUUUGAAACUUCUUGAUAAAACACAGCUGCUCAUGUUGGAGGACAUUUUACUGCAAACAUAAAUUCCCACAAGCAGCACCUGGAAUCCAAUAGUUUUCAAGACUGUGCUGUGAACAUUCUAACUGAAUAUUUAACAACUGUGGUAAAUGUCAAUUAUGUAAAUGGCAAAAUGAUAUACUCUAGAUUUAUGUAGUACAAACUAAAGUCAUAGUGGGAAAAAAAUUUCACAUAAAUAAUUACUUGAUGAAUUUUUGACUUCUUACAUGCAACAUUCUAAGCAACUCAGUAAAUAUAAAUGCAAAGCCCUAUUUUCUAUCAGAGAAUAAUUUAUAAAUACAGUUGGAAUAGAAACUGACAAUAUACUGCAGAAGUUAAUAAUGAAAUUUGCAGUUUUCUUACCACAAAAUUAUAUUAUGGAUAUGAUACCACUUUCUCCCUGUAAACUAUCUGCUCCUCCUCUUCCCUCUCACCUGCCCCUCAAAAUUGAAAGAAGUUGAGGAUCCAUGCUUUAUGAUGCUAACUAUCUGGAAUAGAAUUGAAAUAUUCAGUUGAAAUUCUAAAUGAUUAACAAUAGUUGGGUGCUUUUUUGUUAAGUACUCCGAACCCAUCAUUUUUAAAGAUUUUAGUUUUCAUUUGAGGAUUGUUCUAAAACAUCUCAUUACUCUAUUCAAAAGUUAAUCAUUAACUGUUUCUUCUUUUGUUGUUGUUAGCAAAUAUACACAUAUGGCCCAGAUUCCUAUUUAGUUUCAUCGUUAAUCAUAUUUCCAAGUUCAUAAUAGGUAGGACUAGGAGUGUCCUCUUUGAAAAUAUAUGUGGUUAGAAGGUGACAGCUUUUUCAAACCACAAAUUGACCCACCCUUCAAGAUUGGUAAAUUCCUCCAAGUAUGUAGUCCCCUUUACCAAAGUCUUUUAACUUCCCAACUUUAGAAGCACUGCAUUAAAAAAUCAAUUGUGCACAAGAAAAGUAUCCUAUACCAUGAAAAAAAAGAAGUUAUAUAUUGCUUCAAAGUUAACUUCAAUCUUGCAUAUAUUAUAAGGCAUAGAACAUGAUGGUUAUGUUCAAAACAUCAUUUGUCCAGACGCAAUUAUUGAUUGCCAAAAAUACAGUGUUAUGCAUGCAAACAUCACAUAUUUUCAACUUUUAACAGUACGAAAACACUUUUGGGUAAUUGCGCACAUGCUCAAUUGCUUCUAAAAUGAGAAUCUGUGCCAAGGAGACUUGAAUUUAUCUUUCAUUUCUAAAAAGCUACAGGUUUUACGCUUUUCUAUUUUAUGGAUUGAGUGAAAAAUAAGUUAUCUAAUUUAGGCAAUUUCUUUUUUAUUUAGACUUCAUAGACUGUACCUCAGUUUUUUCAAAUUGCUCACAUGAUUGUAAUAAUAACCCUUCUCAGAGGAUUGGUUGGAAAAGUAAUGAGUUACUAUAAUGAAUUAAUGCAAGUAAACAUUUAGAAUAGUGCUUCAUCUGCAGCAAGCACUCAAAAAAUUUGAGCUAAUAUUAUUUUUGAUGAAUAUUAGUAUUUAAAAUUUUUUUAUUAUUCUGUAAUUUUUAAAGAUAUUUUAUUGUAUAUUUUCCAGCAAGUCUCUCUUAAUGCUUUUGAGUCAAAUUAUUUAACUGUUAACAAUAAUAGUAAACAAUUGUUAAUUGUAAAUUGGUAACACAGUCUUAAUAUCUUAGUAUUUUGAUGUUAUCCAUUACCAUCGCUCAAUACUAUUGGAUUGUUUACUUCUUAUUUCAUCUAGCACUUAGGCUAUUUUUUACUUCAAAUAUAAUCUUUCCUUAUAAGAAGGUUUACUUCUUUUCCUCCUCAACAUUCCUUUGAGAUGGCUAAUUUAGAAUACUCAGAGACAUUUUAUUUAUAAUUAAUCUAAAAUUCUCUUGCUCUCAAACGUCCCCCAGUCUGAUCUCAAAGCAUUUUCAUGUUGCUUUUAUCCACUUAUAUUAGGUCUGCCUUCCCCAACCUUUCACAGCUGGAUCUCUUAUAAAAAUUCAAUCCUGCCUAAUUUUCUAAUUCACUUUUAACCAGAUUAGAAAAUUGUAUAUGUAUAUCAAUGCCUCAGAUUCACGUAUGACAAGACCAAAUAUCUAAAUAACCUGUAACUACCUAAUUAAGAAUGAGAUUUGGUAACCAAUGAAAAUAUCAAAACUCAAUUUUCUCCAAAAAAGUAAUCUUCUAAUAUACUUACUUAUAUGCCUCCAAAAGGUUUUUUUUUAGUUAUAUAUAUAUCUUCACAUAUUUGUAAAUUCAUUAAAGUUUAAAUAGUGUGAAAGUGUGCAAUUUCCUACAUUAUGUAAAUUUUGCCAUUCAAAACUAAAACUCUUUGCCACUCUUGCAAAUAUAUCCAUUGAACUUGAAAUACCAUAUUAAUUCAAUACCUAAUAUUAUUUAUUUAAAAAUAUAAAUGAUAAAGAAUGUAAGUUUAUCACUGUUUCCUUUUCUCCUUAAACUCUCAUUUCUAUUCCAUUUCCUGCAUUCAGAAUUCACCCAUUAUAUAGUAUGGUUAUGCUUAAAAGUGUUUUACUGAUCACCAUCAUACUUGUCUGUAUCAAAAAAUAUGUUUAUUUAAAUUUAUUUCAUUAUAAGCUUUCACAUUAACAUAUUUUAAAAAUAUUUUAUUAAAACUGUCUAACUGCAAAUUUGGUUAAUUCUAUUUGAAAAAUAAUGACUAUCGUAUAACUUCAAUGGCAGAGGCAUUUCUCUUUGACAAAUAAUCUGUAACAUCAGACUAAGUUUUUACCAAGAAAAAUAUGACUUCAUAUAUCUAAGAUUACCACUUGACUUCUAAAUUUUAAUUCUGUGAUGGAUGGAUGAAUCGCUAGCUUAAUAAAGACAUAGAGCCUUAUUAAGAAUUUGUUGUCUGGAGGAAAAGAGGCAAUGUUUUUAUCAAUAUUUUUUAUCAAUGCUUCCCUUUUAUCUCAUGAGUAUCUCCUCAAUAAAAAUACAUUUUUCAAAAAUAACUGGAGAGAGGCAGUGUGGAGUAAGGAAAAAAUAUACAAUGAAAAUUUUCAUUUUACUUAGGUUUUACUCUACAAAAUAAGUUAGAAAAAUUUCAUCAUUAGUCAAAACACACCGUUCCUAAAGCCAUGUUUCAAGUUACUAAGAUGGACAAGGACAUGAAACUCUGUGUAUGCUUUGUCUUCCUUUGUCUAUAGCAGGAAUUGGUGAUACCAAUUAUUUAUUUUUGGGGUUUUUUGUUUGUUGUCUUUUGUCUUUUUGCCUUUUAGGGCCGCGCCGGUGGCAUGUGGAGGUUCCAGGUUAGGGGUCCAACCGGAACUGUAGCUGCAGGCCUACACCAGAGCUACAGGAACGCGGGAUCCAAGCCACUUCUGUGCCCUACACUGCACACAGCUCAUGGCAACCCUGGAUCCUUAACCCAUUGAGAAAGGCCAGGGAUUGAACCUGCAUCAUCAUGGAUGCUACUCAGGUUUGUUAACCGCUGAGCCUUGACAGGAACUCCAAAUUCUUUGAAUUCUUCAUAUAGCUAGUUGACCUACUGGCUUUGACACUUUGGGGCAGUGCAACAUGGUAAGAUUAACAACUGUGAAAGAAAAGAUGGCUAAGAAAAACAGGUUGAUAACAUCAACUAAUACCUCCUCAGGAAAACAAAUUUUAAGGAAUGUAUGUGUGUACAAGUUUUGGAAUUUGCUUCUCUUAAAACCAUCCGUGCCCAUGUCCCCAUUAGAUAAUAUUUGUGAGCUGUGGAGAUUGUAUAGUUCAGCUUGAAGACCAUUGUUUUAAAACAAAGAUCCUAAAUAUUGAUGUACAUAGCAGCCAGGCAGGUAGGGUAAGUGCUUUAAGUCUUCAUGGUCUUAAUAACAGUAUGAAGAAGAUGCCUUAAUAAGAUAAUGCAUUUUGUUCACCAUUCAGAAAUAAGAAGCCAAUUAUGCAGUUGGGUUUUUCAAAGUUAAAAUUCUAGGUUUUUUUCUUAAUAUUAAAUAUUCUAAUUUCUAACUAUUGGGAACUCAUUCAAUAUUGAAUUAAAACAUUGCAUAGGCUAAAUGAAACAUAUCUGCAGGUAAAAAUCUAUCUCAGAAUUUUCUAUUUGUUUGUCUCAUCCUUUCUCUUCAUGUUCUCUUCCAAUUACUUGAGUUAUACUUUGAUUUUUCUUAUUAAUAUUCCAACGUAUUGCUGCGAUUAGAGACUGGCCUUACUAUGGCAUACACAUCUGGUUUCUUCUUGACAUUGCUCACUGAAGUUGAGAUUCUACUUUUCUGUCUCCCUACUUGAAGUCCAUGCGUGAAUGGACAGAUCAUCUGGGAUAAUGCAUUUCUAGGCAUUUGUCUUAAAGAUAACAGGCUGUGUGUGAUCCUUUACUAUUUCCUAACACUUUUAAUUUGGAAGAUUUGUUUCUCUUUAAUGCCAAAAAGUCUUCCAAAAAUAAUGUCUGAAGUUGUUUCUCCUUUGCAAAUGCUAUACAUUCAACCAUCCCAUGGCUUGAAAAAUGGUCCAGCCUCUUUGAUUUUCUUAGUAACAUUCUAUCAGCAAUCACUUUUGCCUCUUUUUUUCUAUUUCCAGCUGACUCUGCUGCUGUGAACACCAAAAUCUAUCUCCUAGGUCAUCUCCCAUUUAGAAACACCAGUUUCUUUGGAUUUCCCUUCCCCAUGUCCUAUGCAAGUGUUCUACUUAUUGUCAUUUGCACCCUUUGUCAUUUACCAUUUUGGAGUGGACUUUUCCUUUAAGUUCUUCCUGUAUUCUUACUACUUUCCAACACUUAAUUCUAUUUUCAUAGAGAUAGUCUCUAAGUAUCUCUUUUUCCUUCUCUUUUUCUUUUCCCUUUUUUUUUUUUUUUGCUUCAGCACUUUAUCCCAAGUCACACUCUUUUUUUUUGAAAACCUAUAAUAUCACUAAAUUCACACUACAAAAUCAAUUACAUUGUCUUGAAGUAUUAGUAUUUAUUAUUUUAUGUAUUUUCACCAAUUAUAUUUUAAAAUUUUCAAAAGCCAAGCUUGUAAUUUGACUCAAAAAAUUGAUUUAGAAAUUAUCAGUAACAGAUCUAUAUGAGUAGUCAAUGAAAGUCUAUUGUUUAACUCAUCCUGGCUUCACAUACAGAUGCUAAAGAGGUAAACAUACAUUAAGUGGUAGAGUUAGAAUGCAAUGUCUAUGUUAUAAAAUUAGUCAAUGCAUAAUAUUUGUGAAAGUACUUAGAAUUGAAUUUUAUUAAUUAAUUGAUUUUGUUAUUUUCUAUUUUUGCAUUGUGUCUUCUUACUUUUCUUUGAAUUCUGUGGGAUUAUAUGUCCUUUUUCAGUCACAACAUUUAGAUACUUUAAAUCACAUCCUAAAUGUCAUUUAGCAACUUGGGAGAAAUGAAAAAAGCGAAAUCACUUCUCAAGGGAAAAAAGAGCUGUGAGAUAGU